rnacentral:rRNA from 1 species
UGAGGAAUAUUGGUCAAUGGGCGUAAGCCUGAACCAGCCAUGCCGCGUGCAGGAUGACUGCCCUAUGGGUUGUAAACUGCUUUUGCAGGGGAGGAACCGGCGGUACGUGUACCGCUCUGACAGUACCCUGCGAAUAAGGAUCGGCUAACUCCGUGCCAGCAGCCGCGGUAAUACGGAGGAUCCGAGCGUUAUCCGGAUUUAUUGGGUUUAAAGGGAGCGCAGGCGGGGGCGUAAGUCAGCGGUGAAAUCC